AACACGACUCUCGGCAACGGAUAUCUCGGCUCUCGCCACGAUGAAGAAUGUAGCGAAAUGCGAUACUUAGUGUGAAUUGCAGAAUCCCGUGAAUCAUCGAGUCUUUGAACGCAAGUUGCGCCCGAGGCCUCGGCCGAGGGCACGUCUGCUUGGGCGUCGCAC
rnacentral:rRNA from 22 species